CCGAGAGGAGUGUCGGGGAAACUGACGAUCUUGGAACCGGGAGAGGUAAGAGGUACUUCCGGGGUAGGAGUGAAAUCUUGUAAUCCUGGAGGGACCACCUGUGGCGAAGGCAUCUUACUGGAACGGCUUCGACAGUGAGGGACGAAAGCUGGGGGAGCAAACCGGAUUAGAUACCCGGGUAGUCCUG
rnacentral:rRNA from 1 species